GAUGAACGCUGGCGGCGUGCCUAACACAUGCAAGUCGAACGAAGCAUUUAAGAAAGAUUUCUUCGGUUUGAAGUCGUUUAUGUCUGAGUGGCGGACGGGUGAUUACCGCGUGGGUAACCUGCCUCAUACAGGGGGAUAUAAGCUGGAAACGGCUGGUAAACCCGCAUAAGCGCCCAGUACCACAUGGUACAGUGUGAAAAACUCCGGGUGUAUGAGAGGGCCCCGCGUCGGAUUAGCUUGUUGGCGGGGUAACGGCCCACCAAGGCGACGAUCCGUAGCCGACUUGGGAGGGGGACGGGCAACAUUGGGACGGAGAACGGGCCCAGACUCUUACGGGAGGAAGAAGUGGGGAAUAUUGCACAAUGGAGGAAACUCUGAUGAAGCACGGCGGCGGGAGUGUAAAAGUUGUUGGAUAGGUAAAGCUCUAUCAGAAGGGAAGAAAGUGACGGUACCUGAUGAAUAAGCUCCGGCUAACUACGUG
rnacentral:rRNA from 1 species